rnacentral:rRNA from 1 species
UACAGAGGGUGCAAGCGUUAAUCGGAAUUACUGGGCGUAAAGCGCGCGUAGGUGGUUCGUUAAGUUGGAUGUGAAAUCCCCGGGCUCAACCUGGGAACUGCAUUCAAACUGUCGAGCUAGAGUAUGGUAGAGGGUGGUGGAAUUUCCUGUGUAGCGGUGAAAUGCGUAGAUAUAGGAAGGAACACCAGUGGCGAAGGCGACCACCUGGACUGAUACUGACACUGAGGUGCGAAAGCGUGGGGAGCAAACAGG